rnacentral:rRNA from 1 species
GACGAACGCUGGCGGCGUGCUUAACACAUGCAAGUCGAACGAAGCGGCGGACGGGGGAGUAAUGCCUAGGAAUCUGCCUGGUAGUGGGGGGUAACGUCCGGAAACGGGCGCUAAUACCGCAUACUAUCAGAUGAGCCUAGGUCGGAUUAGCUAGUUGGUGGGGUAAAGGCGUACCAAGGCGACGAUCCGUAACUGGUGUGAGAGGAGGAUCAGUCACACUGGAACUGAUACACGGUCCAGACUCCGCAGGGAGGCAGCAGUGGGGAAUAGUGGACAAUGGGCGAAAGCCUGAGCCAGCCAUGCCGCGUGUGUGAAGAAGGUCUUCGGAUUGUAAAGCACUUUAAGUUGGGAGGCGUUACCAACAGAAUAAGCACCGGCUAACUUCGUGCCAGCAGCCGCGGUAAUUC